rnacentral:lncRNA from 1 species
GUUGCCUCGUUUCUAAUUCCCUGCCUUUAUUAUUCUAGGCAAAGCUGCAGUGACGAAAGGAGUGGUGUAAUUUUUGAAUUUCAAGAACAGUGAAGUAGGCGAUGGCAGCGAGCGUAUAAAAGGACACAUUGGAAGACUGAUAAAGAGAAAUAAGAUGAUUCAGGUACACCAUUAAGUUCUUUGGAAUACACAAAAGUAUCUGACUAGAAAGCUUAUGAAAUAGAAGACAAGA